CUGGCAGCUGCUGCUUCUUCUUCUUCUUCUUCUCUCUCCAAAUUUUCAAACUUUGGGAUUGUUACAAGCUCCAUCUCCAUUAAAGCUUGUUGGUCCAGUUUGGUGCAGCCAGAGCGGGACACCAUCUGGUGAUUACCCACAAGUGGGAUUGAUGGUGAUCAAUAAGAGCUUUGCCGAUUCUUUGCACUCUGAAUUGAAUUACUUGUUGAAUUUCGUGAGAGGUGAUGUAUGCCUGCGGCUUUCUCGCCCGCCAACUGUUUGAUGAUUUGUUGGCGUUAGUUGAUUAAUACUCCGGUGAUUCUUUCUUGUCUCCUUUACAUCUGUCCAUGGGUCUAGUUUGAACCAGGGCUACUUUGAAGUCUCCUCUUAUGAUGAUUUUUGGUAUCGAAACCAUAAUGUGAUCAAAUUUGGCGACUCAACCGAGUCACCUAAGACUUGGAUAAAACUCGUGAUGAUAAUAAAUAUGGUUCAAAGUUAGUAGCCUGAAAACGUAAAGGAGAUUGUUUGGUUUUUUAGUUAUUCCUAAACAAGGAACCCCAAAUAAUCUUAGAAGAUUCGAGGCAACAUAAGAGGUCUAUGUUAAUUAGGUUCAGGCUAUAAAAUUUAUAAACGGAUUGUGUAUAUCUACUCAGAUUUGUAAAAAU